GAAUCCUGUGGUCACCUUCUUUCUAUGUCCAUACUCAUUGUAUCAAAUAAAUGCAACAGUAGCGUACCGUUGUCCAAAAGUCAUAAAUUGAUUGAGAGAAAACAAAUCCGGGUUACAAACUAAAAAAUAAAAAGGGAAACACAUCAACUAUGAGAGGAAAACAACGAAACUAUAGAAACACUGAAGUGCAACACAAAACAAACGACAAUGAACAUACAUAGAAACGAACUGUUAGAUAACAACUGCCAUAUUUCUGGUAUGU
rnacentral:lncRNA from 1 species